rnacentral:rRNA from 1 species
GACGAACGCUGGCGGCGUGCUUAACACAUGCAAGUCGAACGGAAAGGCCCUGCUUUUGUGGGGUGCUCGAGUGGCGAACGGGUGAGUAACACGUGAGUAACCUGCCCUUGACUUUGGGAUAACUUCAGGAAACUGGGGCUAAUACCGGAUAGGAGCUCCUGCUGCAUGGUGGGGGUUGGAAAGUUUCGGCGGUUGGGGAUGGACUCGCGGCUUAUCAGCUUGUUGGUGGGGUAGUGGCUUACCAAGGCUUUGCCGGGUAGCCGGCCUGAGAGGGUGACCGGCCACAUUGGGACUGAGAUACGGCCCAGAAUCCUAAGGGAGGCAGCAGUGGGGAAUAUUGCACAAUGGGCGGAAGCCUGAUGCAGAAACGCCGCGUGCGGGAUGACGGCCUUUGGGUUGUAAACAGCUUUCGACUGUGCCGAAGCGUGAGUGACGGUAACGGGUAAAGAAGCACCGGCUAACUACGUG